rnacentral:tRNA from 1 species
GCGGGAGUAGUUCAGUGGUAGAGCACCAGCUUCCCAAGCUGGGUGUCGCGGGUUCGAAUCCCGUUUCCCGCU